CCCUUUUUAAAAGCACUCAAUGGGCCUGUGGCUAAUGACCUAUUGAGCUCUCAAGAAAGGGGAGAAUAAAAAACACCGCUUUUGGGUGAAGUGGCAGCAUGUUGUGUUGUUUUGCUUCAAUCAGUGGUGCGAAAAGG
ensembl:snoRNA